UACAGAGGUCUCAAGCGUUGUUCGGAUUCAUUGGGCGUAAAGGGUGCGUAGGUGGCGCCGUAAGUCGGGUGUGAAAUUUCGGAGCUUAACUCCGAAACUGCAUUCGAUACUGCGGUGCUUGAGGACUGGAGAGGAGACUGGAAUUCAUGGUGUAGCAGUGAAAUGCGUAGAGAUCCGGAAGAAGACCGGUGGCGAAGGCGGUCUGCUGGCGAGUACCUGACACUGAUGCGCGACAGCGUGGGGAGCAAACAGG
rnacentral:rRNA from 1 species